GACGAACGCUGGCGGCGUGCUUAACACAUGCAAGUCGAGCGGAAAGGCCCUGCUUUUGUGGGGUGCUCGAGUGGCGAACGGGUGAGUAACACGUGAGUAACCUGCCCUUGACUUUGGGAUAACUUCAGGAAACUGGGGCUAAUACCGGAUAGGAGCGCCUGCUGCAUGGUGGGGGUUGGAAAGUUUCGGCGGUUGGGGAUGGACUCGCGGCUUAUCAGCUUGUUGGUGGGGUAGUGGCUUACCAAGGCUUUGACGGGUAGCCGGCCUGAGAGGGUGACCGGCCACAUUGGGACUGAGAUACGGCCCAGACUCCUACGGGAGGCAGCAGUGGGGAAUAUUGCACAAUGGGCGGAAGCCUGAUGCAGCAACGCCGCGUGCGGGAUGACGGCCUUCGGGUUGUAAACCGCUUUCGCCUGUGACGAAGCGUGAGUGACGGUAAUGGGUAAAGAAGCACCGGCUAACUACGUG
rnacentral:rRNA from 1 species